rnacentral:rRNA from 1 species
GUAGAUGACGGUACGUAGGCCGGGGUAGGACGUGGGGGUGAGGGGUUAAUGGUAAGUACUGGGCGUAAUGUGGGCGGCGGCGGCUAUGCAAGACAGAUGUGAAAUCCCCGGGCGCAACCUGGGAACUGCAUUUGGGACUGCAUGGCUAGAGUGCGGCAGAGGGGGAUGGAAUUCCGCGUGUAGCAGUGAAAUGCGUAGAUAUGCGGAGGAACACCGAUGGCGAAGGCAAUCCCCUGGGCCUGCACUGACGCUCAUGCACGAAAGCGUGGGGAGCAAACAGGAUUAGAUACCCGGGUAGUC